UACGGAGGGUGCAAACGUUGUCCGGAAUCACUGGGUUUAAAGGGUGCGUAGGCGGCUGCAUAAGUCAGGGGUGAAAGCUUGUCGCUCAACGGUAGAAGUGCCUUUGAUACUGUGCGGCUUGAGAUCAGGUGAGGGUGGCGGAAUGUGAGGUGUAGCGGUGAAAUGCGUAGAUAUGUGGUAGAACACCGGUGGCGCAGGCGGCAGGCUGAACUAGUUUUGACGAUGAGGCGCGAAAGCGUGGGGAGUAAACAGG
rnacentral:rRNA from 1 species